rnacentral:rRNA from 1 species
AUUGAACGCUGGCGGCAGGCCUAACACAUGCAAGUCGAACGAGUGGCGGACGGGUGAGUAAUGUCUGGGAAACUGCCCGAUGGAGGGGGAUAACUACUGGAAACGGUAGCUAAUACCGCAUACCAUCGGAUGUGCCCAGAUGGGCUUAGCUAGUAGGUGGGGUAACGGCUCCCCUAGGCGACGAUCCCUAGCUGGUCUGAGAGGAUGACCAGCCACCCUGGAACGGAGACACGGUCCAGACUCCUACGGGAGGAAGCAGGGGGGAAUAUUGCACAAUGGGCGCAAGCCUGAUGCAGCCAUGCCGCGUGUAUUAAGAAGGCCUUCGGGUUGGAAAGUACUUUCAGCGAGGAGGCGUUACUCGCAGAAGAAGCACCGGCUAACUCCGUGCCAGCAGCCGCGGUAAUUC